UACGACUACAUAUCAGGCAUAUCAAUAAGCGGAGGAAAAGAAACUAACAAGGAUUCCCUUAGUAACGGCGAGUGAAGCGGGAAGAGCUCAAAUUUGAAAUCUUCAAGGUUCUACCUUGACGAAUUGUAGUUUAAAGAAGUGUUUUCUGUUGGAGUUUUGGUAAAAGUUCUUUGGAAUAGGACAUCAUAGAGGGUGAGAAUCCCGUAUUUGACCAUUUCUUCCAGCUGUGUGAUACACUUUCAAAGAGUCGGAUUGUUUGGGAAUGCAGUCCAAAAUGGGUGGUAAAUUUCAUCUAAAGCUAAAUAUUGGCGAGAGACCGAUAGCGAACAAGUACCGUGAGGGAAAGAUGAAAAGAACUUUGAAAAGAGAGUUAAACAGUACGUGAAAUUGUCAAAAGGGAAGCGUUUGACACCAGUGUUGUUUUCUCGAAAAUCAAUUAAAAAUGACCGGAUUUUGUGUUGUAUUGACUUUAUCAGCUUUCUGCACUUUUUUCUUGUCUUUUUUAAUGCACUUUUCGUUUAACAAGUCAACAUCAAUUUCUUUUGUUGUAAAAGGGUCAUUGGAAGGUGGCUUUCACUUCGGUGAAAGUGUUUAUAGCCUUUGACUUCUGCAAUCGGAGAGAUUGAGGUCUGCAGCGUAGAUCCUUCGGGGUUAGAUACGUAGAUGCUAAGUUAUAAUUAUUUCAUAAACAACUUGUUGACUAUAAGUAAUCAUGUAGCUUACUCGUUUGCGCUAUUUUACCUACGCUUAGGAUGUUGAUCUCUCACAGUCGAGC
rnacentral:rRNA from 1 species